rnacentral:rRNA from 1 species
GUACAUGCCUAUACAUAGCGUUAAUGCACCGUAUCCCAUUAGAAAUUCGUAGUUAAGCGUGCUCAGGAUAGAGUAGUACUAGAAUGGGUGAACACCCAGGAAGUCCUAGUGUUUUACAUG